AUGAAGGGGCGGUUGGGAGCUCUGAGAGGUUUUACGGCUGCUUGUGCAGAUAGCCCUACUACACCUAAGAAUCCCAUUGUGGAAUUGAUAGACAGUGAUGAUGAUGUGUUUGACAAGAUUCCUGGCGUUGGAAGAGUCACGAGGAGCGCUGCUGCCAAAGGUUUAUCUCCCCUUGCUGGAAUAGUGGCUCGUAGAGCUGGUGGUGCUAGGAAAGAUCCCGCUUUGGAUUCUGGCAAUGUUGUAAGCACGAAGCGUGCGCCCAGAGCUCCUAUAAAGUUUUUCUCCCCUGUGCAGCAGCUUCACCCUUAUAAAUUCCCUCACCUGGACAAGGCUUGCAGGUUGUAUAAUCUGUUGCUUAGUAAUGAAUGGCGUGAGAAGUAUGGCGAGAAUACAUUCUCAAUGAUACCUCAGCCUGAUGGAAACGUAACUAACUUCACUCUGAAUCGCAUCUGGGAAGUUUUUUCACCUGGGAAAAUGAUGGAGGGUGAUGUAAUUGACUUCCUCAUUGAUGAUUGGAAGCAAGAUCCCGAUAGAAAUGCUGAUUUCGCAUCUGGGAAAAGGAUAUUGCUGAGUCCAUAUUUCAUCACGGUUGUGCUUGACUGUUUGUUUUACGAGGAUGAAAAUAAUGUGUUUAAUGUGGAGAGUGCAGCGAGAGAUUUCAAGAGCUAUGUUAAAGCUAAUGAAGACUUGCUCAGUGCCGACCUUAUCAUGAUGCCUCUAUUCAAGCCUAUGGUUUUAUCAAAGGAUAGGAAAGUGAGCCACUAUUCCUUAUAUGUCAUGAAUCGGUACCGAAGUAGCGUUGACAUCCUUGACUCUUUACCUUAUCUGAAGAACCACCGUCCUUCGAAGAACACCUAUCACAAAGACUGCGAGAAGAUUCCACGCAUUGUUGAUUGGAACACUGAGGAUCUGUAUAGAGUUGUGUUCAACCGUAAUAACCAUCUUAUGGUGGCGGAGCUUCCCAAGGAGGUUCAGGCUUUGGCUCCUGAUGCAUAG
rnacentral:rRNA from 1 species